UAACACAUGCAAGUCGAACGGAGCUGCUUUGAUGAAGUUUUCGGAUGGAUUUAAAACAGCUUAGUGGCGGACGGGUGAGUAACGCGUGGGUAACCUGCCUCACACUGGGGGAUAACAGUUAGAAAUAGCUGCUAAUACCGCAUAAGCGCACGGUUCCGCAUGGAACAGUGUGAAAAACUCCGGUGGUGUGAGAUGGACCCGCGUCUGAUUAGCCAGUUGGCGGGGUAACGGCCCAACAAAGCGACGAUCAGUAGCCGGCCUGAGAGGGUGAACGGCCACAUUGGGACUGAGACACGGCCCAAACUCCUACGGGAGGCAGCAGUGGGGAAUAUUGCACAAUGGGGGAAACCCUGAUGCAGCGACGCCGCGUGAGUGAAGAAGUAUUUCGGUAUGUAAAGCUCUAUCAGCAGGGAAGAAAGUGACGGUACCUGAAUAAGAAGCCCCGGCUAACUACGUGCCAGCAGCCGCGGUAAUACGUAGGGGGCAAGCGUUAUCCGGAUUUACUGGGUGUAAAGGGAGCGUAGACGGCAAGGCAAGUCUGAAGUGAAAGCCCGGUGCUUAACGCCGGGACUGCUUUGGAAACUGUUUAGCUGGAGUGCCGGAGAGGUAAGCGGAAUUCCUAGUGUAGCGGUGAAAUGCGUAGAUAUUAGGAAGAACACCAGUGGCGAAGGCGGCUUACUGGACGGUAACUGACGUUGAGGCUCGAAAG
rnacentral:rRNA from 1 species